rnacentral:rRNA from 1 species
GUGCCAGCAGCCGCGGUAAUACGUAGGUGGCAAGCGUUGUCCGGAAUUAUUGGGCGUAAAGGGCGUGUAGGUGGAUUCUUAAGUCGUGUGUCUAAGUGCGGUGCUCAACACCGUAUGGGCGCAGGAAACAGGGAAUCUUGAGUGCAGGAGAGGAAAGUGGAAUUCCCAGUGUAGCGGUGAAAUGCGUAGAUAUUGUGAGGAACACCAGUGGCGAAGGCGACUUUCUGGACUGUGUCUGACACUGAGGCGCGAAAGCCAGGGGAGCGAACGGGAUUAGAUACCCGGUAGUCCCUGGCCGUAAACGAUGGGUACUA